GUGAGGAAUAUUGCGCAAUGGAGGCAACUCUGACGCAGCCAUGCCGCGUGCAGGAAGAAGGCGCUACGCGUUGUCAACUGCUUUUAACCGGGAAGAAACCCCAGGCCGUGUCCUGGGUUGACGGUACCGGAGGAAUAAGCACCGGCUAACUUCGUGCCAGCAGCCGCGGUAAUACGAAGGGUGCAAGCGUUAUCCGGAUUCAUUGGGUUUAAAGGGUGCGUAGGCGGAGCGUUAAGUCAGUGGUGAAAUCCUGCAGCUUAACUGUAGACUUGCCAUUGAUACUGGCGCUCUUGAGUGCGCUUGAAGUGGGCGGAAUGUGCCGUGUAGCGGUGAAAUGCUUAGAUAUGGCACAGAACACCAAUUGCGAAGGCAGCUCACUAAGGCGAUACUGACGCUGAGGCACGAAAGCGUGGGGAUCGAACAGGAUUAGAAACCCGGGUAGUCC
rnacentral:rRNA from 1 species